UACAUUGAAAAUACAGGAAAUGAAAAUGAGCAUUUUACUUUAUCAAUAUUUCUUAAUGUUUCAAUGAAGUAUGUAAUAAAUUAAAAGAACUAUUGUAUUGAUUAGGAAAAGUUUUUAUUUCAAGUUUGUGAUUAAAGGCUUGUUUGUUACAUUUCAAUUGUGGCACAGUUGGUUGUUUGCUGAGAAGCUGUGAAACAUAAUUAUACAGGCCAUUAAGGAGGUUUUUGUCAGAUUGAUGAAUGUGAAAUUAAGAGGACCCAUUUUGAGAAUGCUUUUUACGAAUGGAAUCAAGAGAGAUAAAGUCUAAAAUGUGAUACUGUCAAUGUGACUAACCUUGAAGUAAACAGAUGACACAAUGUUUUUUCAAUGUCAUGGGCAUAUAAUGAAGAGAAAACAGAGAUGCUUGUUUGACAGAUACAGUAAUAGUAGGAGUUAUGAGGGAAGAUAGAUUGCAGUGAUAACUAUAUUGAGGCACCAUUUCAUCACCAAGAACAUGAGAUGAAUUAUCAAUGUUUUCAAUGUGUUUGAACACCCAUUUUAAAUAAUACAGCUCAGAGUGAAUUUUUCAAAAUAAUUAAUUCUGUUUUCAAAGUUUUUUAUUUAGAUGUUAGUUGAUUUUGUCAAGUACUUUAU